rnacentral:ncRNA from 1 species
UGUGUUAAUAAUCACCUAACCUAAACCUUGAAUCUACACCCCCUAACCUUCUAAAUCAUCGACCCAUAACCCAUAACCCUUCUAAAUAUGCAGUGUGAUUUAUUACCAUUGCUCUGCAUGUCAAAGUGAAGAAAUUCAACCAAGUGCGGGUAAACGACGGGAGUAACUAUCACUCUCUUAAGGUAGCCAUAUGCCUCGUCAUCUAAUUAGUGACGUGCAUGAAUGGAUCAUUGACGAUAUUACCCACUGUCCCUAGGUACUAUAUUCUAGAGAAACCACAUCCAAGGGAAUGGGCUUGGCAUAAUUAGCGGGGAAAGAAGACCCUAUUGAGCUUGACUCUAGUCCUAACCCAUUCAUAGUUUGGGAAAAUUAGAGCAUAGUUUGGGAAAAUUAGACCAUAACAUUUGUCUUUGGGAGU